rnacentral:rRNA from 1 species
AACGAACGCUGGCGGCAGGCUUAACACAUGCAAGUCGAGCGCCCCGCAAGGGGAGCGGCAGACGGGUGAGUAACGCGUGGGAAUCUACCCAUCUCUACGGAAUAACGCAUGGAAACGUGUGCUAAUACCGUAUAUGUCCCACGGGAGAAAGAUUUAUCGGAGAUGGAUGAGCCCGCGUUGGAUUAGUCAGUUGGGGGGGUAAAGGCCUACCAAGGCGACGGUCCAGAGCUGGUCUGAGAGGAUGAUCAGCCACACUGGAACUGAGACACGGCCCAGACUCCUACGGGAGGCAGCAGUGGGGAAUAUUGGACAAUGGGCGCAAGCCUGAUCCAGCCAUGCCGCGUGAGUGAUGAAGGCCCUAGGGUUGUAAAGCUCUUUCACCGGUGAAGAUAAUGACGGUAACCGGAGAAGAAGCCCCGGCUAACUUCGUGCCAGCCGCCGCGGUAAGAC